CCUACGGGAGGCAGCAGUGAGGAAUAUUGGUCAAUGGGCGCGAGCCUGAACCAGCCAAGUAGCGUGAAGGAUGACUGCCCUACGGGUUGUACACUUCUUUUAUAAGGGAAUAAAGUGAGGCACGUGUGCCUUUUUGUCUGUACUUUAUGAAUAAGGAUCGGCUAACUCCGUGCCAGCAGCCGCGGUAAUCCGGAGGAUCCGAGCGUUAUCCGGAUUUAUUGGGUUUAAAGGGAGCGUAGAUGGGUUGAUAAGUCAGGUGUGAAAGUUUGCGGCUCAACCGUACAAUUGCCAUGGAUACUGGCAGUCUUGAGUACAGUUGAGGUAGGCGGAAUGCGUGGUGUAGCGGUGAAAUGCUUAGAUAUCACGAAGAACACCGAUUGCGAAGGCAGCUUACUAAACUGCCACUGACAUUGAUGCUCGAAAGUGUGGGUAGCAAACAGGAUUAGAUACCCUAGUAGUC
rnacentral:rRNA from 1 species